rnacentral:rRNA from 1 species
UACGGAAGGGGCAAGCGUUGUUCGGAAUUACUGGGCGUAAAGGGCUCGUAGGCGGCCAACUAAGUCGGACGUGAAAUCCCUCAGCUUAACUGGGGAACUGCGUCCGAUACUGGAUGGCUUGGAUUUGGGAGAGGGAUGCGGAAUUCCAGGUGUAGCGGUGAAAUGCGUAGAUAUCUGGAGGAACACCGGUGGCGAAGGCGGCAUCCUGGACCAAUAUUGACGCUGAGGAGCGAAAGCCAGGGGAGCAAACGGG